GGAUGUGAGGGCAAUCUGGCUGUGAGAUCUGAUAUGCCAUUGAUUGCACAGGUUGAUUUGACUGGUCUGGCUGGCUUAGGUGGGUGUCCCCUUUCUUCCUCAGCAUUCCAUGUGUGUUCCUACUGGAGCUGUGUGCUUGGUUAAUGAGGACAGCCUCCCCAACAGACAUGGUAUUGCUCACUGGUCAAGGGUGUGUGGGUGUGUGGUAGCUGUGCUCCCCUACUGGAAGCUCUAAGUAAGCUCAAGGUCCAUUUGUAGAAGACUGUAGGGUAGUCAAACAUCCAGUACUAAAGACAUAACCAAAUGAGAAGCUCGAUGCAGCAGUCUGCCAGUGAGUUUUUUU
rnacentral:snRNA from 1 species